UCUCCAGAAGCUACAUAUCGGAUUUGUGAAAAGCAAGAGACUAGGUGUUCAUUUUUGGCGAAGAGGCAUCUUCAUCAGGUGGGAAUGUGGCUGCACGAAUGCUGUUGUGGAGCAUCAUGCGGCACCUUUGAUCGAUUGAACAAAGGCUAGG